AGAAUCAACGCUGGCGGCGUGCCUAACACAUGCAAGUCGAACGAGAAAGUGGAGCAAUCCAUGAGUAAAGUGGCGACCGGGUGAGUAACACGUGACUAACCUACCUUCGAGUGGGGGAUAACCUCGGGAAACCGAGGCUAAUACCGCAUAACAUCGUGAGAUCAAAGCAGUAAUGCGCUGGAAGAGGGGGUCGCGGCUGAUUAGCUAGUUGGCGGGGUAAUGGCCCACCAAGGCGAAGAUCGGUAGCCGGCCUGAGAGGGCGCACGGCCACACUGGAACUGAAACACGGUCCAGACUCCUACGGGAGGCAGCAGUGGGAAUUUUGCGCAAUGGGGGAAACCCUGACGCAGCAACGCCGCGUGGAGGAUGAAGUCCCUUGGGACGUAAACUCCUUUCGACCAAGACGAUAAUGACGGUACUGGUGGAAGAAGCACCGGCUAACUCUGUGCCAGCAGCCGC
rnacentral:rRNA from 1 species